CUUGACUUGGACCACUCAGUUGAAGAUGUGCUCGAGACAAUGGCUACUUCGAGUGGCAUUUCAGAACCUGAGGCACAGAGUUCCCCUUCGAAGAGGCAAUUCCAUGAGAGUCACCAUUUCAUGUCAACUCCUCAGAAGAGAAAGGUCACUUUAGAAGACCAUUCCUACUCCUCAAAGACAAC